AGGCCCGUAGUGAAAUUGGCAUCACAUCUCUCUCCAAAAGAGACAUUCCGGGUUCGAGCCCUGGCGGGCCUG
rnacentral:tRNA from 1 species